rnacentral:sRNA from 1 species
UCGGUUUGAUAUACAGACCCGAUCAAAAGCAGUUAGUAAAGCAGUUCUCUCUCAGGCGUUAUCCUUCGAUACCUCUCCUCUUUGAGUCUCCACUUAAGCUCUGAUUAAAUUCUGUUACUCAGACCUCAUUCGCCGGAAGGCUAAAUCAAAAAGGUAAAAUUAUGUCUGCUAAAAUGACUGGUAUCGUUAAAUGGUUCAACUCUGAGAAAGGCUUUGGCUUUAUUUCUCCGGUUGAUGGUAGCAAAGACGUUUUCGUGCAUUUUUCUGCAAUUCAGAGCGACGCAUUCCGUACGCUGGAAGAAGGCCAGAAAGUAGAGUUCACUGUUGAACAAGGCCAGAAAGGCCCGGCAGCAGCGAACGUGGUAGCUCUCUAAGGACGCUACUGUAGUUAUGCAUUUUAAAUG